AGGGUAGCUGGAGCUGGUUGGCUGCUGUGAGAGGGGGAAGAGUCAGUGCUUUGAGGAGCUGCCUGUGAGAAACUUCAAGGAGGGAGGAAAAUGGUGUCAGGUCACUGUCAGUUGUCAACAAGUCACAAGAAAAUAUGAAAUUCUUCUUCAAUAUGAGCACUUACUAAAGGCAUCAAAGCUGAGCUUGGCUUGCCCGAGUUCAAGAGUGCAAAGCGCUCCAAGGAGCCCAUGUUUCUGCCUGCCCAAGAAGCUCCUGUGUACAGCUUUGCCUUUCACACUUGGAGCCAACAAUCCCUGUGAAAUGGCUCCCCUCUGAAGGGAAGGCACCAAACUCCAAACACUGUGGUGGUGGAGCUCAGGGGAGCCCCUGGCAGUGUGCUGCCCCAGGGAAGCUCCACUGCAUUUCUAACCCAGCUCUGCUGGUUCUUUUUUACACAGCUUUGCGUUUUUAUUGCUUUUCAAAGGCUGAUGACUAAAUCUGACAAAAUACAAGCAUCCUGUUAUGACUCACUUUAUGUAUAUUUUAUUCUCAUGGAUUUUUACUUUGUCCUUCAUCUUUCUUUUCAAUGAACCUUCCCUUCAAUAUCCACUUAGCUGUUUCCCUUUCAUGACACAUCUCUCUUUCAUUCCUGGCGUCCAUCAUUUCUGGUACUUUGUUUUAGCACUGAUUGCUUUUUUCUUCUGAUUUUAGCAUUCCUAGAUAUUGGCUUCCCUACACUUAUGAUGCCUCUGUGGUUCCAUGGUUUCUAGUAGAUCUCAGUAGUCUUUUAUUUUUAAAACAGAAAAAUUCUCCUGAAUGAAGAAAAUUCUCCUGAAUUUUCUUUCACUUUCUCUGAUGAAGGCUGACCUGAAUUCUUUCAUCUGAUUAAGAGAUUUGUGCCCACCUUCACUCUAAGCACAGAUGUAUUUUUAUGAGUAGCAUACUAUGCAUGCUGGGUGGGAACUGUCAUGAGAAGAAGGAAAAUGGAAUUAAGCUCUUCCAGUUGAGUUCCAGACGUAAUAAAUCUCUAUUUUAGUCUUGAUUUGCAACUGAAAUGUUCAUUUGUAUUAAGAAUUUGCUCAGCUGCCAAAAUCUGUAAGCCAUGUUAGAUAUUUCCUUUUGGUGCUGAAACUGAGAACAACAUUUGUAAGAGAAUGACAGGAGGUGAAAAAUCAAAUUUGUGUGUGUUCCUAAUUUUCCCUCCCUGAAAAGAGGUCACAAGAGAAAAACAAUACCAAAAUAAAAUGCUGAUAUAUCCAAUGUU